rnacentral:rRNA from 1 species
GUGGGGAAUAUUGGACAAUGGGCGAAAGCCUGAUCCAGCCAUGCCGCGUGUGUGAAGAAGGUCUUCGGAUUGUAAAGCACUUUAAGUUGGGAGGAAGGGCAGUAAGUUAAUACCUUGCUGUUUUGACGUUACCAACAGAAUAAGCACCGGCUAACUUCGUGCCAGCAGCCGCGGUAAUACGAAGGGUGCAAGCGUUAAUCGGAAUUACUGGGCGUAAAGCGCGCGUAGGUGGUUUUGUAAGUUGGAGGUGAAAUCCCCGGGCUCAACCUGGGAACUGCCACCAAAACUGCAUGACUAGAGUACGGUAGAGGGUAGUGGAAUUUCCUGUGUAGCGGUGAAAUGCGUAGAUAUAGGAAGGAACACCAGUGGCGAAGGCGACUACCUGGACUGAUACUGACACUGAGGUGCGAAAGCGUGGGGAGCAAACAGGAUUAGAAACCCUGGUAGUCC